CCUACGGGAGGCAGCAGUGGGGAAUAUUGGACAAUGGGGGGAACCCUGAUCCAGCCAUGCCGCGUGUGUGAAGAAGGCCCUCGGGUUGUAAAGCACUUUCAGUGAGGAAGAACGCCUGGUGGUUAAUACCCAUCAGGAAAGACAUCACCCACAGAAGAAGCACCGGCUAACUCCGUGCCAGCAGCCGCGGUAAUACGGAGGGUGCGAGCGUUAAUCGGAAUUACUGGGCGUAAAGCGCGCGUAGGUGGCUUGAUAAGCCGGUUGUGAAAGCCCCGGGCUCAACCUGGGAACGGCAUCCGGAACUGUCAAGCUAGAGUGCAGGAGAGGAAGGUAGAAUUCCCGGUGUAGCGGUGAAAUGCGUAGAGAUCGGGAGGAAUACCAGUGGCGAAGGCGGCCUUCUGGACUGACACUGACACUGAGGUGCGAAAGCGUGGGUAGCAAACAGGAUUAGAUACCCGAGUAGUC
rnacentral:rRNA from 1 species